rnacentral:misc_RNA from 1 species
GAUGAAGAACGUAGCAAAAUGCGAUAAGUCAUGUGAAUUGCAGAAUUCAGUGAAUCAUCGAAUCUUUGAACGCACAUUGCGCCCGCCAGUAUUCUGGCGGGCAUGCCUGUUCGAGCGUCAUUUCAACCCUCAAGCACAGCUUGGUGUUGGGACUCGCGUUAAUUCGCGUUCCUCAAAUUGAUUGGCGGUCACGUCGAGCUUCCAUAGCGUAGUAGUAAAACCCUCGUUACUGGUAAUCGUCGCGGCCACGCCGUUAAACCCCAACUUCUGAAUGUUGACCUCGGAUCAGGUAGGAAUACCCGCUGAACUUAAGCAUAUCAAUAAGCGGAGGA